UGCCCUUUGGACAGGGAUACCCCUGGGAAACUGGGACUAAUCCCUGAUAAGUCUCCGUAGCUGGAAUGCUCGGAGACGGAAAGCUCCGGCGCCACAGGAUGGGUCUGCGGCCUAUCAGGGUAGUAGUGGGUGUAGAGUACCUACUAGCCUACGACGGGUACGGGUUGUGAGAGCAAGAGCCCGGAGAUGGAUUCUGAGACACGAAUCCAGGCCCUACGGGGUGCAGCAGGCGCGAAAACUUUACAAUGCGGGACACCGCGAUAAGGGGACCUCGAGUGCUGGCAUACAAUGCUGGCUGUCCAGCUGCCUAAAUAGCAGUUGAUAGCAAGGGCCGGGCAAGACCGGUGCCAGCCGCCGCGGUAACACCGGCGGCUCGAGUGGUAACCGCUAUUAUUGGGUCUAAAGGGUCUGUAGCCUGCAGGUUAAGUCUCUUGGUAAAUCCGGCAGCUCAACUGUCGGGGUUCAGGGGAUACUGGUCUGCUCGGGACCGGGAGAGGUGAGAGGUACCUCAGGGGUAGGGGUGAAAUCUUGUAAUCCUUGAGGGACCACCAGUGGCGAAGGCGUCUCACCAGAACGGGUCCGACGGCAAGGGACGAAAGCUAGGGGCACGAACCGGAUUAGAUACCCGGGUAGUCCUAGCCGUAAACGAUACUCGCUAGGUGUCGGCCACGGUGCGACCGUGGUCGGUGCCGUAGGGAAGCCGUGAAGCGAGCCACCUGGGAAGUACGGCCGCAAGGCUGAAACUUAA
rnacentral:rRNA from 1 species